UACGAAGGGGGCUAGCGUUGCUCGGAAUUACUGGGCGUAAAGCGCACGUAGGCGGUCUUUUAAGUCGGGGGUGAAAUCCUGGAGCUCAACUCCAGAACUGCCUUCGAUACUGGAAGACUUGAGUCCGGGAGAGGUGAGUGGAACUGCGAGUGUAGAGGUGAAAUUCGUAGAUAUUCGCAAGAACACCAGUGGCGAAGGCGGCUCACUGGCCCGGUACUGA
rnacentral:rRNA from 1 species